UACAGCAGCCAUAUCACCCUGCAACUCACAACUGGCAACCCACUGAAGCUAAGCAGGUGUGAGCCUGGUCAGUACCUGAAUGAGAAACCUCCUGGGAAAAACUAAGGUUGCUGCUGGAA
ensembl:rRNA 5S_rRNA 5S ribosomal RNA